GCAAAACUAAAAGAUUUGAUCUUUAGAUGGGCUAUGCCUAUGGGUCUAGACUCUAGACGAGGGGAGGAGGCAACGUCGUUACGCCGGAGUACUACCAAAGAAUCUGUUCUUUGUUCCCUGGGACACUUUUCUCUCAUCAUCCGGUGCUGGAGUAAAAUGGCAAUUUAUCAGGCCCCUAAAAAUAGCAGUUUCUGCGAUCGAUGGUACUAUUGGAGUGGGGAUCCGGCAUAGCAUAAGGAUCACAUUUUAGAUCCCUUGAUUAAGGUCCAUGUGUCAACAACUAUUCAUGAUGACCUCUCUCUUGGUUAGGAUCCAUGUUUCAAUUAUUAUGACUCACAUCAUGAAUAUGAAUGAAAUUAUAUGUUUUUUUUUCA